CGAGGUGUAGCACAUUUUGGUCCGCGCAUCUGUUUUGGAUACAGAGGGUCAUAGGUUCAAAUCCUAUCACCUUGA
rnacentral:tRNA from 1 species